CAGACUCCGGCGGUCACAUGACUCCAGCCUAGAGCGUUGAUCGCACUGCGGCUCCCGCCCGGGCGAGUUCUCGCCCCCGCGCGGCCGUUGCCGAGGAGACGGCGCAGUCUCACGGUGCGUUGCCCCCUCUGCAGUCCCCCCGCCCCUCUUCUCCCACCACAAUGAGAUCUAAGAUGGCGGUGGCUGCGGCGGUUGGCGCCGAGUAGCUAAGGUAGAGAAGGCGGCCAUUGGGCCCUAGGCAGCCAAAGAACUUGUGGGCGCUCCCUGCUGCGGUCUCUAAGGGAGGACCGCUGGCGGGUCGUAGGGCCUGACCGCUACUCCACCCUUGGCAGGAGCGGCUGCUUCGUUUACAGCAGGCAACAGCUUUGAAGUGUGAAGCAGGGAAGGAGCCGUUUCUGAGCUGUAAAACUAGUUUUUAAACAGGUACUUGACCAUCUUAAGUACAGAGAAGAAAUCGAGAAGUUCCUCAAAUGAAAUUGACUAAACAACACAUAAAACCAAAUACUCAUUUUCUUCUCAAUUUCUAUUAAAAGUGCUUAGUACAUUUGGACACUGUAUGAAGACUUUCAAAACAGUGUACCAGAUAAAGUUAUCUACCCAUCUCUUUCGCUCAGUCCUUCUCCAACUUGCGCAGUUCCACACCCAGUGGAAAGCCAGAGUCCUCCACAAGAA
rnacentral:lncRNA from 1 species